AUUUAUAUAGUUUAAUUAAAACAUUACACUUUCACUGUAAAAAUAAAAUUUUAUUUUUAUAAAUA
rnacentral:tRNA from 1 species